UACGAAGGGGGCUAGCGUUGCUCGGAUUGACUGGGCGUAAAGGGCGCGUAGGCGGUUCGUACAGUCAGACGUGAAAUUCCUGGGCUCAACCUGGGGGCUGCGUUUGAUACGUGCGGACUUGAGUGCGGAAGAGGGUCGUGGAAUUCCCAGUGUAGAGGUGAAAUUCGUAGAUAUUGGGAAGAACACCGGUGGCGAAGGCGGCGACCUGGUCCGUGACUGACGCUGAGGCGCGAAAGCGUGGGGAGCAAACAGG
rnacentral:rRNA from 1 species